rnacentral:rRNA from 1 species
AAAUUGAAGAGUUUGAUCAUGGCUCAGAUUGAACGCUGGCGGCAGGCCUAACACAUGCAAGUCGAACGGUAACAGGAAGCAGCUUGCUGCUUCGCUGACGAGUGGCGGACGGGUGAGUAAUGUCUGGGAAACUGCCUGAUGGAGAGGGAUAACUACUGGAAACGGUGGCUAAUACCGCAUAACGUCGCAAGACCAAAGAGGGGGACCUUCGGGCCUCUUGCCAUCAGAUGUGCCCAGAUGGGAUUAGCUGGUAGGUGGGGUAACGGCUCACCUAGGCGACGAUCCCUAGCUGGUCUGAGAGGAUGACCAGCCACACUGGAACUGAGACACGGUCCAGACUCCUACGGGAGGCAGCAGUGGGGAAUAUUGCACAAUGGGCGCAAGCCUGAUGCAGCCAUGCCGCGUGUAUGAAGAAGGCCU